rnacentral:rRNA from 1 species
CCACAUGAAGUCGGAGUUGCUAGUAAUCCCGAAUCAGCAUGUCGGGGUGAAUGCGUUCCCGGGUCUUGUACACACCGCCCGUCACGCCAUGGGAGUUGGUAGUACCCAAAGUCGGCGAGCUAACCGCAAGGAAGCAACCGCCUAAGGUAAGGCCAGCGACUGGGGUGAAGUCGUAACAAGGUAGCCGUAUCGGAAGGUGCGGCUGGAUCACCUCCUUUUAAGGAG